GACGAACGCUGGCGGCGUGCUUAACACAUGCAAGUCGAACGGAAAGGCCUGCUUUCCCUUGUGGAUUGCGGGUACUCGAGUGGCGAACGGGUGAGUAACACGUGAGUGAUCUGCCCCCAACUUGGGUAUAAGCCUGGGAAACUGGGUCUAAUUCCCGAUAGGACUGCAGGGUGGUGCCUGUGGUGGAAAACGAUUUUCUAGUGGUUGGGGAUGAGCUCGCGGCCUAUCAGCUUGUUGGUGGGGUAAUGGCCUACCAAGGCGGCGACGGGUAGCCGGCCUGAGAGGGUGGACGGGCACAUUGGGACUGAGAUACGGCCCAGACUCCUACGGGAGGCAGCAGUGGGGAAUAUUACACAAUGGGCGGAAGCCUGAUGCAGCGACGCCGCGUGGGGAAUGACGGCCUUCGGGUUGUAAACUCCUUUCGACCGCGAGGAAGCCACCUGGUUGGAAGGGUGGUGACGGUAGUGGUAGAAGAAGCACCGGCUAACUACGUG
rnacentral:rRNA from 1 species